GGUAGCAGGAAAUUCAAUAUCAGGGUGGAAGUUGGAGAGGAAAGAGAUGAAAUGGCAGAGUUGUUCGCGGGAAAGGGAGGUGGCGCCUAUGCAGUCGUCUAUGUAGCAACCGUAUAGUUCUGGGGUCGGCCCGGAGAAUUGGGAGAAUACUUGGGCCUCAAUGUAGCCAACAAAGAGAUUGGC